CGGGACGGGUGAGUAAUGUCUGGGAAACUGCCUGAUGGAGGGGGAUAACUACUGGAAACGGUAGCUAAUACCGCAUAACGUCGCAAGACCAAAGAGGGGGACCUCGGGCCUCUUGCCAUCGGAUGUGCCCAGAUGGGAUUAGCUAGUAGGUGGGGUAACGGCUCACCUAGGCGACGAUCCCUAGCUGGUCUGAGAGGAUGCCAGCCACACUGGAACUGAGACACGGUCCAG
rnacentral:rRNA from 1 species